GCUCAAAUUUACUGAAUGUCAUGAACAUUCAAAAAGACUCCAUGUUCAUGACAGGUGUCAUGUCAUGGUUAUGACAGUGUCAAGUCAGUCUUAUGCACACCCCUUCAAGUAAAAUGUUAU